CCUAAUUCUGCAAGUCGACGCGUUGGCCCAAUUGAUUGAUGGUGCUUGCACCUGAUUGAUUUUGGUCGCCAACGAGUGGCGGACGGGUGAGUAACACGUAGGUAACCUGCCCAGAAGCGGGGGACAACAUUUGGAAACAGAUGCUAAUACCGCAUAACAACGUUGUUCGCAUGAACAACGCUUAAAAGAUGGCUUCUCGCUAUCACUUCUGGAUGGACCUGCGGUGCAUUAGCUUGUUGGUGGGGUAACGGCCUACCAAGGCGAUGAUGCAUAGCCGAGUUGAGAGACUGAUCGGCCACAAUGGGACUGAGACACGGCCCAUACUCCUACGGGAGGCAGCAGUAGGGAAUCUUCCACAAUGGGCGCAAGCCUGAUGGAGCAACACCGCGUGAGUGAAGAAGGGUUUCGGCUCGUAAAGCUCUGUUGUUAAAGAAGAACACGUAUGAGAGUAACUGUUCAUACGUUGACGGUAUUUAACCAGAAAGUCACGGCUAACUACGUGCCAGCAGCCGCGGUAAUACGUAGGUGGCAAGCGUUAUCCGGAUUUAUUGGGCGUAAAGAGAGUGCAGGCGGUUUUCUAAGUCUGAUGUGAAAGCCUUCGGCUUAACCGGAGAAGUGCAUCGGAAACUGGAUAACUUGAGUGCAGAAGAGGGUAGUGGAACUCCAUGUGUAGCGGUGGAAUGCGUAGAUAUAUGGAAGAACACCAGUGGCGAAAGCGGCUACCUGGUCUGCACUGACGCUGAGACUCGAAAGCAUGGGUAGCGAACAGGAUUAGAUACCCUGGUAGUCCAUGCCGUAAACGAUGAGUGCUAGGUGUUGGAGGGUUUCCGCCCUUCAGUGCCGGAGCUAACGCAUUAAG
rnacentral:rRNA from 2 species